ensembl:rRNA 5S_rRNA 5S ribosomal RNA
AUCGGCAACUAGCUCUUUGCAACUCUCACAUGUUCACCCACUGAAGCUAAGCAGGGCUGUGCCUGGUCAGUACCUGAAUGGGAGACCACAUGGGAAAGCUAGGUUGCUGCCGGAA